rnacentral:lncRNA from 1 species
UUCAAUAUGUUGUUGGAAAAUGAGCCAGUUUCAGGAAUGUAGCUUUCUAAUUUUCACCACAAGAGUAGGUAAACUGAUAACCUUUGCGAAAGUAUAGAACAAUGCUCUGAGGAUAAGAGUAGACUGCACGGACUGACACAAAUAAAUUAUCUCUUUAGGAAGCAUAACCCCUUUUAGCUGCAGAAGUGCAAAAGAUUUCAUAAGAUCUCUCAGUCUAACCCUGCACUGGGGCAGGAUCAUGUCCUCCCAGGCCACCCUGGCAUACGCUGCUCCCUAAUUCUCAAACCUUCCUAUGCAGGAAGCUUCUCUGUCUCCCUUUAGACUGCUUUGGUGUCUCACCAUUCUAAUGCCACGUAACAGUGCAGAGAUUCAGAAUGUUGCUGCGUUACAUUUACCUAGGGACAGAUUUACACUUAUGUGACAACAUAAAGGAUUGCUAAAGUGGGAUUCAAAUUCAGUUCAAUUUAAAGACCUUUUUUGUAUUGCCAGAACAAUAUGAAGGGCCCACUAAUGUAAGCUGAAGUGAGGCUCUCAGUUUCUGAUGAUAUUUCUGUCACUUUAGAACUGGGAAAAUUCCCAAGGACAAUGAUGGUGAUAAAGAGUGCAUAAAGAAAUGUAGAUCACAUAUUCCAUCCCUCUCUCAUGUUCUUGUACAGUUCCAAAAUCCAAAUUGUCUGGAAGCAAUCAAAAGGAAUUGUGCAUUGAUGACAAGAGAGUGCAAGAGAAUCUGAAACCAUUAGUCACAGUUAACACAUAUACAAUAGACUUUUAAUAGAAUUUAAUAGAUUAUUCCAACGCUUUCUGUACUCCAUCUUCCUCAGCUUAACCUCUAAGGAGGGCUUUCAGAUACACCUAUAUCACUGCCUCACAUGGUACAGCCCGUGUCCAAGUGAAGCUGUACAAGGCCCACCUCACAAGAAGCUCUUGCUGGCAUAAAGACGGGGCUGCAGGACAUCGACCAGUCCCCUCCUCGCUCCUCACCUUCUGUCAGAGCACACAGACCUCUGUAUCUGAACUAUGUGACUUUCUUCUGCUGGAAAUGUGCUUGGAUUCCAGGUAUGUACGUUUCAAAGUGACUGUUGUUCUGGUAUGGUAUGGUAUGUUAUGGUAUGGUAUGGUACGGUACGGUACGGUAUGGUACGGUGUGA